rnacentral:piRNA from 1 species
UGAAAUAGUCAUAAGCUUCACUCGAGUGUC